CUACGGGAUGCUCCAGUGAGGAAUAUUGCACAAUGGGGGGAACCCUGAUGCAGCAACGCCGCGUGGAGGAUGACGCAUUUCGGUGUGUAAACUCCUUUUAUAUGCCAAGAAAAUGACGGUAGCAUAUGAAUAAGCACCGGCUAACUCCGUGCCAGCAGCCGCGGUAAUACGGAGGGUGCAAGCGUUACUCGGAAUCACUGGGCGUAAAGGACGCGUAGGCGGGUUGGAAAGUCAGGUGUGAAAUCCUACAGCUUAACUGUAGAACUGCACUUGAAACUUCUAAUCUAGAGUAUGGGAGGGGGAGAUGGAAUUAGUGGUGUAGGGGUAAAAUCCGUAGAUAUCACUAGGAAUGCCUAAAGCGAAGGCGAUCUCCUGGAACAUUACUGACGCUAAGGCGUGAAAGCGUGGGGAGCAAACAGGAUUAGAUACCCUCGUAGUC
rnacentral:rRNA from 1 species